rnacentral:rRNA from 1 species
GAUGAACGCUGGCGGCGUGCCUAAUACAUGCAAGUCGAGCGAACGGACGAGAAGCUUGCUUCUCUGAUGGUAGCGGCGGACGGGUGAGUAACACGUGGAUAACCUACCUAUAAGACUGGGAUAACUUCGGGAAACCGGAGCUAAUACCGGAUGAUAUUUUGAACCGCAUGGUUCAAAAGUGAAAGACGGUCUUGCUGUCACUUAUAGAUGGAUCCGCGCUGCAUUAGCUAGUUGGUAAGGUAACGGCUUACCAAGGCAACGAUGCAUAGCCGACCUGAGAGGGUGAUCGGCCACACUGGAACUGAGACACGGUCCAGACUCCUACGGGAGGCAGCAGUAGGGAAUCUUCCGCAAUGGGCGAAAGCCUGACGGAGCAACGCCGCGUGAGUGAUGAAGGUCUUCGGAUCGUAAAACUCUGUUAUUAGGGAAGAACAUAUGUGUAAGUAACUGUGCACAUCUUGACGGUACCUAAUCAGAAAGCCCCGGCUAACUACGUG